rnacentral:rRNA from 1 species
AGAGUUUGAUCAUGGCUCAGAUUGAACGCUGGCGGCAUGCCUUACACAUGCAAGUCGAACGGAUUCAUGGGAGCUUGCCUGGUGGUGAGUGGGGAACGGGGGAGUAAUAUAUCGGAACGUGCCCAGUCGUGGAGGAUAACGUCUCCAAAGCUCCGGAAUACCUAAUACAAUCUAUGGAUGAAAGCGGGGGAUCGCAAGACCUCUGGCUUUGGAGCGGCCUAUAUCUGAUUACGUAGUUGGUGAGGUAAAGGCUCACCGAGCCGACUAUCUGUAGCUGGUCUGAGAGGACGACCUGCCACGCUGAGACUGAGACACGGCCCAGACUCCUACGGCAGACACCUAUGGGAAAUUUUGGACAAUGAUCUUCCGCCUGAUCCAACAAUGCCACGUGCAAGAUGAACGCCUUCGAGUUGUGAACUGCUUUUGUACAGAACUGAUCGGUGAGCUCAAAUACAGUUUGCUAAUGACGGUACCGUAUGAAUAAACCUCGGCUAACUACGUGCCAUAACUACGUGGUAAUACGUAGGGUGCGACCGUUAAUCGCAAAUUACUGGGCGAAUUAUUGGCGCAGGCGGUGAUGUAAGACAGAUGUGAAAUGCCAUGUCUCAACCUGGGACCUGCCUUUGUAACUGCAUUGCUAAAUGACGGUAUAGGGGGAUGGAAUUCCACGUGUAAUUCUGAAAUGCGUAGAUAUGCGCAUGAACACCUAUAGCAACACCAAUGCCCUGGACCAGUAUCGACUCUCAUGCUGAAAAUCAUGCGCAGCAAACUGGAUUACAUACACUGGUAGAUCACGUGCUAGACCAUGUCAACUGGUAGUUGGGUCUUCUGUGACUCGGUAUCCAAGCUAAAGCGCGACGUUGACCGCCUGGGGAGUACCGCCGCGAGGUGAAACUCCAAGAAUUUGACUCGGACCCG